rnacentral:rRNA from 1 species
GUCCACGCCGUAAACGAUGGAUACUAGCUGUUGGGCGCAAGUUCAGUGGCUAAGCGAAAGUGAUAAGUAUCCCACCUGGGGAGUACGUUCGCAAGAAUGAAACUCAAAGGAAUUGACGGGGCCCGCACAAGCGGUGGAGCAUGUGGUUUAAUUCGAUGAUACGCGAGGAACCUUACCAAGGCUUAAAUGUAGAUUGACCGGACUGGAAACAGUUUUUUCGCAAGACAAUUUACAAGGUGCUGCAUGGUUGUCGU